rnacentral:rRNA from 1 species
GAUCAUGGCUCAGGAUGAACGCUAGCUACAGGCUUAACACAUGCAAGUCGAGGGGCAGCAUUGGAGUAGCAAUACUUCAGAUGGCGACCGGCGCACGGGUGAGUAACACGUAUCCAACCUGCCGCUUACUCGGGGAUAGCCUUUCGAAAGAAAGAUUAAUACCCGAUGGUAUAAAGAGUUCGCAUGUUCUCUUUAUUAAAGAAUUUCGGUAAGCGAUGGGGAUGCGUUCCAUUAGAUAGUUGGCGGGGUAACGGCCCACCAAGUCUACGAUGGAUAGGGGUUCUGAGAGGAAGGUCCCCCACAUUGGAACUGAGACACGGUCCAAACUCCUACGGGAGGCAGCAGUGAGGAAUAUUGGUCAAUGGACGAGAGUCUGAACCAGCCAAGUAGCGCGAAGGAUGACUGCCCUAUGGGUUGUAAACUUCUUUUAUAAGGGAAUAAAGUGAGGGACGUGUCCCUUUUUGUAUGUACCUUAUGAAUAAGGAUCGGCUAACUCCGUGCCAGCAGCUGC